GACGAACGCUGGCGGCGUGCUUAACACAUGCAAGUCGAACGGUGAACCUCUUCGGAGGGGAUCAGUGGCGAACGGGUGAGUAACACGUGGGCAACCUGCCCCCGGCUCUGGGAUAACUCCAAGAAAUUGGGGCUAAUACCGGAUGUUCACCGCUUCCCGCAUGGGUGGUGGUGCAAAGGGUUUCCGGCUGGGGAUGGGCCCGCGGCCUAUCAGCUUGUUGGUGGGGUAGUGGCCUACCAAGGCGACGACGGGUAGCCGGCCUGAGAGGGUGACCGGCCACACUGGGACUGAGACACGGCCCAGACUCCUACGGGAGGCAGCAGUGGGGAAUAGUGCGCAAUGGGCGGAAGCCUGACGCAGCGACGCCGCGUGGGGGAUGACGGCCUUCGGGUUGUAAACCUCUUUCAGCAGGGACGAAGCGCAAGUGACGGUACCUGCAGAAGAAGCACCGGCCAACUACGUG
rnacentral:rRNA from 1 species